CACAUUUAUUGAAAAAUACCUAAUAGGGACUGUGGUACCAUCUAACAGCUACUUACUUGUAUAAUCUGAGUACACACCACAGUUCUACUUCUGACUAGCUUUGUGAACUUUCAUGAAUUACUCCAUAUCAUUGAGCUUCGAGUUCCUAAAAUGAAGAUAAUGGUAUAAAGAAAGGCAUUGAUUGGAGUGGGGGGCACGAAACAGCAAACUGAGAGCUUUGAAGAGAAGCUCCCCAUCGUGGAAAAGCAGCUGUUCAAUUUUGUCAUUGACACAGAUGUGGAAUUCCUGAAUCUUGGUGGACAAUAGGGGAAUAUUUUCAAUCAGGCAUAGGAAUGAUGAGGAAACUGAGGGCAGGAGAUGUGUUUCACCUACUCAAGUUCCCAUUGCAUGUGGGAUUUAGGACAUUCAGGCUGAUAUGUAAGUCCUGAAUCCAUGCCUGACAGACUCCCAACCCCAAUGUGUCUCCACCAUGCUGAGACCUUUCGACAUCUCUGACUGUGGGGACGGCCUCCUUCCCCUAACUGUCCAAAAGGUGGUGACAUCUUGAUUUUGCUGUACAGAAGAAUGAAUUACUCCAGCUUUAAUUCAACACAUAUUUCUUUUUACUCUCACAAUAAGUGGAACAAGAAAUCAUGAAAAUGAUAGCUUAUUAAGGCACUCUAGUGCCAAAAUUUAUGGAAUUUAUGGAAAUAUAGAAUUUGAGAGUUGGAAAGGACUUCAGAAGUCAUCAGCCAGGGGCAUCUUCCUGGGUUCAUGGCCAUCUUAAAAGUGUGUGUACAUUUCCAUCUCAGUCCCCUUUUCUAUGUCUUCAUGCCUUCCAGUCUCUGUUGAGCACAUUGAUUGCUUCUUCUAACAUUACCCAUUCCACUGGUGGAUAGAGGGAAUUCUCAGAUUUUUUUUCUCGUUUCAAAUUCAAGCUAAUAUUUCUGUAACUUUCACUCAUUUGCCCUCCUCUGGUUUCCUGGAAUGACUAGGAAGCCAUCUCCUCUCUUUUCCACACAGCACAAGUCUUGGACAACCUCUCUGUCCU